rnacentral:rRNA from 1 species
GCUGAACCCUUUCUUCUUUCCUAAUACAUGCAAGUCGAGCGAACGGACGAGAAGCUUGCUUCUCUGAUGUUAGCGGCGGACGGGUGAGUAACACGUGGAUAACCUACCUAUAAGACUGGGAUAACUUCGGGAAACCGGAGCUAAUACCGGAUAAUAUUUUGAACCGCAUGGUUCAAAAGUGAAAGACGGUCUUGCUGUCACUUAUAGAUGGAUCCGCGCUGCAUUAGCUAGUUGGUAAGGUAACGGCUUACCAAGGCAACGAUGCAUAGCCGACCUGAGAGGGUGAUCGGCCACACUGGAACUGAGACACGGUCCAGACUCCUACGGGAGGCAGCAGUAGGGAAUCUUCCGCAAAGGGCGAAAGCCUGACGGAGCAACGCCGCGUGAGUGAUGAAGGUCUUCGGAUCGUAAAACUCUGUUAUUAGGGAAGAACAUAUGUGUAAGUAACUGUGCACAUCUUGACGGUACCUAAUCAGAAAGCCACGGCUAACUACGUG